AUACGUAGGGGGCUAGCGUUAUCCGGAAUUACUGGGCGUAAAGGGUGCGUAGGUGGUUUCUUAAGUCAGAAGUGAAAGGCUACGGCUCAACCGUAGUAAGCUUUUGAAACUAAGAGACUUGAGUGCAGGAGAGGAGAGUAGAGUUCCUAGUGUAGCGGUGAAAUGCGUAGAUAUUAGGAGGAAUACCAGUUGCGAAGGCGGCUCUCUGGACUGUAACUGACACUGAGGCACGAAAGCGUGGGGAGCAAACAGGAUUAGAUACCCUGGUAGUCCACGCCGUAAACGAUGAGUACUAGCUGUCGGGGGUUACCCCCCUCGGUGGCGCAGCUAACGCAUUAAGUACUCCGCCUGGGAAGUACGCUCGCAAGAGUGAAACUUAAAGGAAUUGACGGGG
rnacentral:rRNA from 1 species